CGGACGGGUGAGUAACGCGUGGGGAACCUGCCCUGUACACGGGGGAUAACACUUAGAAAUAGGUGCUAAUACCGCAUAAGCGCACAGUAUCGCAUGAUACAGUGUGUAAAAACUACCGGUGGUACAGGAUGGACCCGCGUCUGAUUAGCUGGUUGGCCGGGGUAACGGCCCACCAAGGCGACGAUCAGUAGCCGGCCUGAGAGGGUGAACGGCCACAUUGGGACUGAGACACGGCCCAAACUCCUACGGGAGGCAGCAG
rnacentral:rRNA from 1 species